rnacentral:rRNA from 1 species
AUUGAACGCUGGCGGCAGGCCUAACACAUGCAAGUCGAGCGAGCGGCGGACGGGUGAGUACUGUAUGGGGACUGCCCGAUAGAGGGGGAUAACUACUGGAAACGGUGGCUAAUACCGCAUACUGUCGCAUAACCCAUAUGGGAUUAGCUAGUCGGUAAGGUAAUGGCUUACCUAGGCGACGAUCCCUAGCUGGUCUGAUCGGAUGAUCAGCCACACUGGGACUGAGACACGGCCCAGAAUCCUACGGAGGCAGCAGUGGGGAAUAUUGCACAAUGGGCGCAAGCCGGAUGCAGCCAUGCCGCGUGUAUGAAGAAGGCCCUAGGGUUGUAAAGUACGUUCAGUCGGGAGGCGUUAACGACAGAAGAAGCACCGGCUAACUCCGUGCCAGCAGCCGCGGUAAUUC